rnacentral:rRNA from 1 species
GAGAAGGGCGUUUGGUGGAUGCCUUGGCAGUAAGAGGCGAUGAAGGACGUGAUACUCUGCGAUAAGCUAUGGGGAGCCGAGAAUAGGCUUUGAUCCAUGGAUUUCCGAAUGGGGCAACCCACCUGACAGUUUUCCUAUUGUUAUCUUCGGAUAAUCAAUAGGUGGCUGAACCAGGUAUUUUUAGGCUGAAUAUAUAGGCUUAAAAAAGCAAACCCGGGGAACUGAAACAUCUAAGUACCCAUAGGAAGAGAAAGAAAAUUCGAUUCCCUGAGUAGCGGCGAGCGAAAAGGGAACAGCCCAAACCAGAGAGCUUGCUCUCUGGGGUUGUAGGACUGGACAUUUGAGUUACCAAGAAACGAAGUAGUUGAAUGAUUUGGGAAGAUCAGCCAGAGAAGGUGAUAGCCCUGUAAACGAAACUUCGUUUCCUCAGCCCAGUAUCCUGAGUACGGCGGAACACGUGAAACUCCGUCGGAAUCCGGGAGGACCAUCUCCCAAGGCUAAAUACUCUCUAGUGACCGAUAGUGAACCAGUACCGUGAGGGAAAGGUGAAAAGCACCCCGGAAGGGGAGUGAAAAAGUUCCUGAAACCAUGUGCCUACAAGUAGUUAGAGCCCGUUAAUGGGUGAUAGCGUGCCUUUUGUAGAAUGAACCGGCGAGUUAUGUUAGC